rnacentral:rRNA from 1 species
UACGGGGGGGGGCAAGCGUUGUUCGGAAUUACUGGGCGUAAAGGGCUCGUAGGCGGCCAACUAAGUCAGACGUGAAAUCCCCAGGCUUAACCUGGGAACUGCGUCGGAUACUGGAUGGCUUGAAUCCGGGAGAGGGAUGCGGAAUUCCAGGUGUAGCGGUGAAAUGCGUAGAUAUCUGGAGGAACACCGGUGGCGAAGGCGGCAUCCUGGACCGGUAUUGACGCUGAUGAGCGAAAGCCAGGGGAGCAAACGGG